rnacentral:rRNA from 1 species
CUCAAUGUAAUUAAAUAGCCGCAAUACUUGUGCUAAGGUAGCAUAAUCAUUUGUUUUUUAAUUAAAAACUAGAACGAAAGAUUUAACAUUUUUAUUUCUAUCUAACAUGUAUUUAUUUAAUUUAUUUCAAUUAUAAAAAAAUAUUUAUAUAUUAAGAAGACGACAAGACCCUAUUGAACUUAACUAAAGUUAAACUGGGGUAGUAAGUCAAAUACAAUUUUAAUUAAAUUUUCAAAAAACCUAAUACAAUUAAAAAAUCAAGUUACCAUAGGGAUAACAGCGUAAUAAAUUUCAUAAGAUCUUAUUUAAAAAUUUGUUUACGACCUCGAUGUUGAAUUAAUAAUCUAUUAAAUGCAACAACUUAAUAAGAAAGUCUGUUCGACUU